rnacentral:rRNA from 1 species
GUCGAGCGGGCAUAGCAAUAUGUCAGCGGCAGACGGGUGAGUAACGCGUGGGAACGUACCUUUUGGUUCGGAACAACUGAGGGAAACUUCAGCUAAUACCGGAUAAGCCCUUACGGGGAAAGAUUUAUCGCCGAAAGAUCGGCCCGCGUCUGAUUAGCUAGUUGGUGAGGUAAUGGCUCACCAAGGCGACGAUCAGUAGCUGGUCUGAGAGGAUGAUCAGCCACAUUGGGACUGAGACACGGCCCAAACUCCUACGGGAGGCAGCAGUGGGGAAUAUUGGACAAUGGGCGCAAGCCUGAUCCAGCCAUGCCGCGUGAGUGAUGAAGGCCCUAGGGUUGUAAAGCUCUUUUGUGCGGGAAGAUAAUGACGGUACCGCAAGAAUAAGCCCCGGCUAACUUCGUGCCAGCAGCCGCGGUAAUACGAAGGGGGCUAGCGUUGCUCGGAAUCACUGGGCGUAAAGGGUGCGUAGGCGGGUCUUUAAGUCAGGGGUGAAAUCCUGGAGCUCAACUCCAGAACUGCCUUUGAUACUGAAGAUCUUGAGUUCGGGAGAGGUGAGUGGAACUGCGAGUGUAGAGGUGAAAUUCGUAGAUAUUCGCAAGAACACCAGUGGCGAAGGCGGCUCACUGGCCCGAUACUGACGCUG